rnacentral:lncRNA from 1 species
GACGAUAGAGGGGGAGAGAGAGAGAGAGAGAAUUUGAGUUUUGUUUUGUUUUCUUUUUCUGCUUUAUUUUAUUUUUAUUUUUAGCCACAUGUCAUGACCUAAUUGGAGGGAUUUAAAUUUAAGGGAUAGAUUCUUUAUACGAUCCCCCAGUGUGUCCACCGUGGACUCUCUUUUUGUGGCCAUUGAUAUCUCAUCAGACGGUCUGGGUGAAAGCCUUUUGAUCACUUCAGGUGAUUUAAUAAAGGUCAUCUAAUCUCCCUAAUAUGGCCCAGAUCGCCCAAGCUCUUUUUUUUUCUUUCUCUUUUUU